UGCCUGGCGGCGAUAGCGCGGUGGUCCCACCUGACCCCAUGCCGAACUCAGAAGUGAAACGCCGUAGCGCCGAUGGUAGUGUGGGGUCUCCCCAUGCGAGAGUAGGGAACUGCCAGGCAU
rnacentral:rRNA from 4 species